GUGCCUUGCAAGUACUUGCACCAUACUUCAAUUUGCAUUUUGCCAAAAAUAAACUGUUAAUUUAUUGAUCUAACUCGAGAAUUUUUGUAAUCACCAUUAACAC